AGAGCGGACGCUGGCGGCAGGCUUAACACAUGCAAGUCGAGCGGGCGUAGCAAUACGUCAGCGGCAGACGGGUGAGUAACGCGUGGGAACAUACCUUUUGGUUCGGAACAACACAGGGAAACUUGUGCUAAUACCGGAUAAGCCCUUACGGGGAAAGAUUUAUCGCCGAAAGAUUGGCCCGCGUCUGAUUAGCUAGUUGGUGAGGUAACGGCUCACCAAGGCGACGAUCAGUAGCUGGUCUGAGAGGAUGAUCAGCCACAUUGGGACUGAGACACGGCCCAAACUCCUACGGGAGGCAGCAGUGGGAAUAUUGGACAAUGGGCGCAAGCCUGAUCCAGCCAUGCCGCGUGAGUGAUGAAGGCCCUAGGGUUGUAAAGCUCUUUUGUGCGGGAAGAUAAUGACGGUACCGCAAGAAUAAGCCCCGGCUAACUUCGCGCCAGCAGCCGC
rnacentral:rRNA from 1 species